rnacentral:lncRNA from 1 species
CAACCAUAUAUAUUCAAAUAGUGUAUAGCUAAUGAGUGCCAUAAAUAUAUACUGCCAAAACAGAGGACCUCAAUUUUAAGCAUAUACCUUAUCAAUGUUGUUGUUAGAACAAUUAGACUCGAAUUCCGAGAGCCGAUUUAAGCCAAAUAAGAGGUAUGUUAUUCUUCAACUUUGAAAGCUAUAAGAUAAGCAGCCUAUAACUCCUUUCAAAAUUCUGAGUGUGACAAUUAGCUCCCAUUAACUUCAAAUUUGUACCUAACAUGCUUAAACAUUCAACAAGGCACUUUAAAUUUAGAAGGAAAUUGGAUUAAUUUAGUAUACAUGUUAAAUUUGAUUCAACAAGUGUGUUUCAAGAUUACAUGGGGCUAUUUGCUAGAUAGUCAAAGUAGAAGGGGUUACUUGCAUUUUAAUGAAAGGCUGUAACACAAAAUCACUCCAAAAUGUAUUUCAAUUAUGUACCUGAGAUAUCAUUAAUGCCAAAAUGAAAGUUCUUCAUUUGUCUCGACCGCAAAGCUCUUACACUAGCAUCAUCAGUUUAAGCCUGGAGCAUCAUACAAGGAAAAU